rnacentral:rRNA from 1 species
GUGGGGAAUAUUGGACAAUGGGCGAAAGCCUGAUCCAGCCAUGCCGCGUGUGUGAAGAAGGUCUUCGGAUUGUAAAGCACUUUAAGUUGGGAGGAAGGGCAGUAAGUUAAUACCUUGCUGUUUUGACGUUACCGACAGAAUAAGCACCGGCUAACUUCGUGCCAGCAGCCGCGGUAAUACGAAGGGUGCAAGCGUUAAUCGGAAUUACUGGGCGUAAAGCGCGCGUAGGUGGUUUUGUAAGUUGGAGGUGAAAUCCCCGGGCUCAACCUGGGAACUGACUCCAAAACUGCAUGACUAGAGUACGGUAGAGGGUAGUGGAAUUUCCUGUGUAGCGGUGAAAUGCGUAGAUAUAGGAAGGAACACCAGUGGCGAAGGCGACUACCUGGACUGAUACUGACACUGAGGUGCGAAAGCGUGGGGAGCAAACAGGAUUAGAAACCCGGGUAGUCC